rnacentral:rRNA from 1 species
UACGUAGGGUGCAAGCGUUGUCCGGAAUUAUUGGGCGUAAAGGGCUCGUAGGCGGUUCGUCACGUCGGGAGUGAAAACUCGGAGCUUAACUCCGAGCCUGCUUCCGAUACGGGCAGACUAGAGGUAGGCAGGGGAGAGCGGAACUCCUGGUGUAGCGGUGAAAUGCGCAGAUAUCAGGAGGAACACCGAUGGCGAAGGCAGGUCUCUGGGCAUUAACUGACGCUGAGGAGCGAAAGCAUGGGGAGCGAACAGG